AACAGGAUUAGAUACCCUGGUAGUCCACGCUGUAAACGAUGUCGACUUGGAGGUUGUGCCCUUGAGGCGUGGCUUCCGGAGCUAACGCGUUAAGUCGACCGCCUGGGGAGUACGGCCGCAAGGUUAAAACUCAAAUGAAUUGACGGGGGCCCGCACAAGCGGUGGAGCAUGUGGUUUAAUUCGAUGCAACGCGAAGAACCUUACCUACUCUUGACAUCCAGAGAAUUUGCUAGAGAUAGCUUAGUGCCUUCGGGAACUCUGAGACAGGUGCUGCAUGGCUGUCGUCAGCUCGUGUUGUGAAAUGUUGGGUUAAGUCCCGCAACGAGCGCAACCCUUAUCCUUUGUUGCCAGCGAGUAAUGUCGGGAACUCAAAGGAGACUGCCGGUGAUAAACCGGAGGAAGGUGGGGAUGACGUCAAGUCAUCAUGGCCCUUACGAGUAGGGCUACACACGUGCUACAAUGGCAUAUACAAAGAGAAGCGAACUCGCGAGAGCAGGCGGACCUCAUAAAGUAUGUCGUAGUCCGGAUUGGAGUCUGCAACUCGACUCCAUGAAGUCGGAAUCGCUAGUAAUCGUAGAUCAGAAUGCUACGGUGAAUACGUUCCCGGGCCUUGUACACACCGCCCGUCACACCAUGGGAGUGGGUUGCAAAAGAAGUAGGUAGCUUAACCUUCGGGAGGGCGCUUACCACUUUGUGAUUCAUGACUGGGGUGAAGUCGUAACAAGGUAACC
rnacentral:rRNA from 1 species